rnacentral:rRNA from 1 species
CACCGCGGUUAAACGGGAGACCCAAGUUGAUAGACAACGGCGUAAAGCGUGGUUAAGAUAUUAAUUUAAUAGGGUCAAAUAGUCUCUAAGCAGUCAAAUACUAUCGAAACCACAAAGCACAUCUACGAAAGUAACCCUAACACCUCUGACCCCACGAAAGCCAUAACA